UAAUACAUCGGAACGUGCCCAAUCGUGGGGGAGUAACGUAGCGAAAGCUACGCUAAUACCGCAUACGAUCUACGGAUGAAAGCGGGGGGUCGCAAGACCUCGCGCGAAUGGAGCGGCCGAUGGCAGAUUAGGUAGUUGGUGGGGUAAAGGCUCACCAAGCCUUCGAUCUGUAGCUGGUCUGAGAGGACGACCAGCCACACUGGGACUGAGACACGGCCCAG
rnacentral:rRNA from 1 species